rnacentral:rRNA from 1 species
AGCGAACGCUGGCGGCAGGCUUAACACAUGCAAGUCGAACGGUCCUUCGGGAUAGUGGCGGACGGGUGAGUAACACGUGGGAACGUACCCUUAGGUUCGGAACAACACAGGGAAACUUGUGCUAAUACCGGAUAAGCCCUUCGGGGGAAAGAUUUAUCGCCUUUGGAGCGGCCCGCGUCCGAUUAGCUUGUUGGUGAGGUAAUGGAUCACCAAGGCUACGAUCAGUAGCUGGUCUGAGGGGAUGGCCAGCCACACUGGGACUGAGACACGGCCCAGACUCCUACGGGAGGCAGCAGUGGGGAAUCUUGCGCAAUGGGCGAAAGCCUGACGCAGCCAUGCCGCGUGGAUGAUGAAGGUCUUAGGAUUGUAAAAUCCUUUCACCGGGGACGAUAAUGACGGUACCCGGAGAAGAAGCCCCGGCUAACUUCGUGCCAGCCGCCGCAGUAA